UCUCCAGCUGUUUUUGGACUACAGUUUCCAUCAUCCCUAACCACUGGUCCUGCUAACUAGGGGUGAUGGGGGUUGUAGUCCAAAAACAGCUAGAGA